rnacentral:rRNA from 1 species
UACGUAGGGAGCAAGCGUUGUCCGGAUUCACUGGGUGUAAAGGGUGCGCAGGCGGAUUUGUAAGUCAGAGGUGAAAUCUCACGGCUUAACCGUGAAACUGCCUUUGAUACUGCAGAUCUUGAGUUUGGGAGAGGUUGAUAGAAUUCCAGGUGUAGCGGUGAAAUGCGUAGAUAUCUGGAAGAACACCAGUGGCGAAGGCGGUCAACUGGCCCAUAACUGACGCUCAGGCACGAAAGCGUGGGUAGCAAACAGG